rnacentral:rRNA from 1 species
UACGUAGGCAGCAAGCGUUGUUCGGAAUUACUGGGCGUAAAGAGUGUGUAGGCGGUUUUCUAAGUUCGGUGUGAAAUCUCCCGCUUAACUGGGAGGGUGCGCCGGAAACUGGAGGACUGGAGUGCCGGAAAGGAUAGCGGAAUUCCUGGUGUAGCGGUGAAAUGCGUAGAUAUCAGGAGGAACACCUGCGGUGUAGACGGCUAUCUGGACGGUUACUGACGCUGAGACACGAAAGCGUGGGUAGCAAACAGG